rnacentral:rRNA from 1 species
CAGUAGCCGCGGUAAUACGUAGGGUGCAAGCGUUAAUCGGAAUUACUGGGCGUAAAGCGUGCGCAGGCGGUUUGUUAAGACAGAUGUGAAAUCCCCGGGCUCAACCUGGGAACUGCAUUUGUGACUGGCAAGCUAGAGUCUGGCAGAGGGGGGUGGAAUUCCGCGUGUAGCAGUGAAAUGCGUAGAUAUGCGGAGGAACACCGAUGGCGAAGGCAGCCCCCUGGGCCAACACUGACGCUCAUGCACGAAAGCGUGGGGAGCAAACAGGAUUAGAUACCCGCGUAGUCCCUGUCUCUUAUAC